UACGGAGGAUGCAAGCGUUAUCCGGAAUGAUUGGGCGUAAAGGGUCCGCAGGUGGCAGUGUAAGUCUGCUGUCAAAGAAUGGGGCUUAACCUCAUCAAGGCAGUGGAAACUACACAGCUAGAGUACGGUCGGGGUAGAAGGAAUUCCUGGUGUAGCGGUGAAAUGCGUAGAGAUCAGGAAGAACACCGGUGGCGAAAGCGUUCUGCUAGACCUGUACUGACACUGAGGGACGAAAGCUAGGGGAGCGAAUGGG
rnacentral:rRNA from 1 species